AGUCCCCUAUAAUAUUGAACAGAAGCAAGCAUUCACUGCUCCAUUUCCAACUCAUCAUAGUAAGGCUAAGAGUUGUAGUUGCCUGCAAGUAAAGCUCCCCAAUGCUCCAACAUCUUUUGAUAGGUGAACUGUCGUCUCCCCACCCAGAUGCCACACCAAUACCACACAAUAGCUUUGGCUUCUCCAAUUAUCCUUUCUACUGAAACUGCUUUAUUUCUAAAGAUCU
rnacentral:lncRNA from 1 species